rnacentral:rRNA from 1 species
UACGGAGGGUGCAAGCGUUAUCCGGAUUCACUGGGUUUAAAGGGUGCGUAGGCGGGCUAUUAAGUCAGUGGUGAAAUCCCCGGGGCUCAACCUCGGAACUGCCAUUGAUACUAUUAGCCUUGAAUUAUGUUGAGGUUGGCGGAAUAUAACAUGUAGCGGUGAAAUGCUUAGAUAUGUUAUGGAACACCGAUUGCGAAGGCAGCUGGCUAAACAUAUAUUGACGCUGAUGCACGAAAGUGUGGGUAGCGAACAGG